rnacentral:lncRNA from 1 species
UCAACUUCUUGAAUUAUAUCAGAUUGGUCUACCACCCACCUCCCAUCAGAUAUCUGGAAACCUUUUAUCAUAUUUCUAUUUCUUCUUUGCAAGGUUGCCAUGUGAAAAUAUGAAGUAUUUUUAUCCCCUUCACGCAACCAUAAAGCUCUAGACUUAUGUUUCCAAAAGGUUUCUUCAUCGUUAUAGGCUUUGCUUAGUUCCCUUUUCAGUAACCUUAAUUUACUCCAGUCAAAAUUACUAGCGUUAUUCCUAAGGGCUGUAAUCUUUCCCUUAAUACUAAUAAUUAUCUUUCUUGCAUUACCA